rnacentral:lncRNA from 1 species
GAACCUGACUGGUAUCCAUGAGGAUGCAGGUUCAAUUCCUGGCCUCGCUCAGUGGAUUAAGGAUCUGGCAUUGCUGUAAGCUCUGGUGUAGAUCGCAGAUGUGGUUCGGAUCUGACGUUGUUGUGACUGUGGUGUAUGCCAGCAGCUACAGCCUGGGAACUUCCGCAUGCCUCAGGUAUAGUCCCAAAAAGACAAAGAUUAAAUUAAAUUAAAUUAAAUUAAAUUAAAUUAAAACAUGUCCAAUUACAUCACUUGGUAAUCAUGCAGGCAAAGGCAUUCAUGCCAAUUUUCUAAAUUUUUUUUGUUUUUGCUUUUUAGGGCUGCACUCACAACAUAUGGAAAUUCCCAGGCUAUGGCUCGAAUGGGAGCUACAGCUCCAGCCUAUGCCACAGCCACAGCAACUCGGGAUCUAAGCUGCAUCUGUGACCCAUACUACAGCUCAUGACAACUCCAGCUCCCCACUGAGCAAGGCCAAGGAUUGAACCUACAUCUUCAUGGAAACUAAUCAGAUUCAUUUCCGCUGAGCCAUGACAGGAACUCCCUAGAUUUUUUAAUAGAAAGAUGAGUUUAGGAAGAUAUCCUUCACAGUAAAUACCUAUGGUGAUAAACUAUUAUUUCAUAAACUUCUAAUGAACAUGUGCAUGACUUUGCUGGGAUCUCAUUGUAUUCCGGCCUGUCACUUGUCAUUAGCAUUGCCAUUAUCUCUUGCUGAAUCUCCACCACUACACGGCGUGAUCCUCAAAGGCCAGGUCCUAGCUUCUUGCAGUUGUCCGAGCCUGGUAUAAAGUAGUUUCCCCGUGACUCUUUGCAGCUAGAAUGGAUUCAAUGAAGCUCUUCCAUACUUAUAACCUACAUAUAAGCUCUCCUCCCAGGCCUCUUCCACAUCAGUGCAGUCUCUGUUUUUUCUCCAUCAAUGUGGGGAACAGAGUACUUUUUAAUUUUUUUUUAGAAAAAAAAGAAAAGAAAAGAACUAAAUCCACCAGCCAUAAAGCAUUAGUGAGUAUUAUGCAUUGAAUCACGUCCAUCAAAAUUCAUAUGGUUAUGUCAGAAUGUGGUCUUAUUUAGAUAAGUAGAGUCAUGGUAAAUAUAAUUAGUUAAGGUGAUGCCAUACUGGAAUUGCAUGGGUUCUAGUUAGACAAAAUGACUAGUGUCCCUCACAAGGGGAAUAUGUGGACACAGACACACACACGGAGAACUCCACAUGAAGACUGGAAUUGUGCUGCCACAAGCCAAGGAGCCUUCAGAAGCUAGGAGAAAGUUCUGGAAUAAAGACCUCCCUAGCACCUCUGGAAAUUUGUCACUAGAUACCCUGAUGCAGGACCUAUGGUUUUGAGAACGACGAGUCAAUAUAUUUGUAUGGUAUGUUCAACACUAGGCAGAUUCCAUUGGGACACGCAUGCCAGAGAAUCAAUUGGCUGAUUAUUUUUGUGAAAACCACGGGAGAGGCAUCUCCCCGCCAUCUCACAUUCCCCUCACAAAAAGUUUAACGUAUUACUACUCUUCACAUGUCAGACUAAUCUGUCCCCUUUUUCUCCUCUCCCACUUUUUGUCAUGUCUCAUAUUGUGUAAUUCACACAGACGUAUCUGAUAAAGGCCCAUCAAAACCAGUGAAAUUCACCCUUUGUCUUUCCAGUUCUCAUCACUCAUGAGUGACACACACAGAUAAGUCUUUGACUAUUUUGCUCUCUUUUUUUAAUUCCUCAUAUUUUAUUGUGCACAAAGAGCUGAGAGACAAAGGCUCAUCAAGGCCAUCAUUAGGCUACAUUUAUCUGCCUCAAACAGCCUUUGUCUUCUAUUAGUUUUUAAAAUGGUCCCAGUUCUUGUGUCGCUAGCUAGAUUCCCUCACUGCAUUUGCCUCGUUUUUAACUGUUACUGAAAUUUCAGGGCUACUUGGUGAAUUUUGGUCUUGUAGCUCCAGUGAGGAGAGUAUCUCUGAACAAUCUUCUAGAGGUUUGGAUUCAAAAAGAAAAAAAUUUUUUAAUUAAAAUAUUAAGCGCUGCCUGCAUUUAUGUUUAUCAUCUGUGAAACAUUCAUUUUUCACACUCAUUCUCUUGCUGUGUGAGAGCACUGUUAUGCAAUGAUUAUUCCCCAUGCCAAGCUAUCAACAGGAGUAUUUUGAGAUAAACAAUGUGUUUACAAUAGGAACUGCAGUGGUGUCUUUUAUUCUGGAAGACGUUGGCACAUAUAUUAUUAUUCUGCUCAGGAAUGAGCCUGUCUUUUUAAGCCUAUUGGAGAAUUGUAGUAAUUUCCUCAGUGAUUGCACACAGAAUUAGACCUCUUCUCAGUGUCACCACCAACUGAGGUGAGGUUCUCUAGGUUUUUUGGAGGCCCUAGUUACUUUGCUCACUCAUUGGUCCAUUUAUUUAUUCAUUCACUCAUUUACCAACCAUGAAUGAUCAGCUUUAAAUUGUCUAAGAAAUAGAUCUGGCAGGAUCCUGUCUCAUGACACUAUUACUCUAUGGAUUUGCAGAGGGAAAAAAAAGUUUACAAUAAUAUAGAAAACUAAAACCAACAAACACAUGUAAAGUGAUGCCCACUAAUUUCUAGGCUUAGAUGUUUAGAUUAUGAAAUAUAAGUGAAACAUAAUAAGACAUGUCCUCAGGAAGAGAAAGAGAUGGAUCUCUUCCAUUUCAUUUGCUAGCUGACGUGGGAUGACCCCAGCUGUAAAACAAGCAAACAAGCAAACAAAACACAAAUACUAUAUUCACAUGGCAAGAUCAUCUCAAAAAACACAGGCAAAAAAUGAGGAUAAUUAUGUGAAGAGAAGGAGGACAUUCGAAGGAAAAUGACUGUACUUCCUUGGGUCAUAAAAGGCAAGUUUAUCCCAUAUACUUUCUCAAAUAAGAACUAGAAAGGGUAGAAAUAUGACUAUUGUUUAUAGAAAUAUAUCCUGGCAACAGAAGCUAUUUAUUCCUGUACUCACUCCUCACUCCCUUAAAUCUUGGGAAACUCAGAAAUAAAGGUGGGAGACAAUUCUGUCUCAGAAUAGUAUGGUUGUACUAAAGGACCUGUUCAACCAGACAGGGCUGGCUGUGUAUAUCAACUUACCUCUCAGAUCAGGGGACUGCUCACCCAGCUGUCAAAUGUAAAGGGGGUAGAGUCAAAUAAAAUACUACACUACAUUUGUUAUCAAAGAGCAAAUCAAAUGAAAAGUGCUUAACAGUCCAUGAUUACCUCUAUGAAUUUUGUGGCUGCAUCACAGGUUUCUAACAAUUACUUAUCCCUGCAUAUUCUUUACUUUGAAAGGUGUUAUUUAGAAUGGGUAGUGAUUCUCAGCUCUCACUCUGCCUUCUGUGGUCUUUAAGUUUUUAAAUAUCUAAAGAAAAAGCUCGGAGUUCAAGAUACUGAAUAUUCAAGUUGACAUUCUCUUUUCCUUACUAUGUAGUAUUCAGUUUUCUUUACUGUUUCCAUGUUUCAAAUAAGGAAACUAAGCAAACAUGGCUUUAGAAGUGUGGGAAAAUAGAGUGGAUAAUGAUGAUCUGAUGUUUCCUUGGGCUUAUUUACAGAAAAUUGAAGGUUCCUUUCCUUAUUUGAGUCUUUGAGGACAGGUACACCAUAAGUCCUUGUGCUACUAUACUUUUAAUAAAACAGUAUAUUUGUAUACACGUUGUUUGACUGUCUAAUAUAGGAUGUAAGAGUUUAAGCAGUUAAGGUUAAACAAUGGUUAAAUAUACAGAUAUCAAAGCAUCCUAAUAUUGCUUCUGCUCUAAAUUAAUUUAUUUUAUUUCAAGUUUGUAGCAGAAUAUGAGUUGUGUGAUAGAAAGGAUAUAAACUUUGCAUAGAAUGAUGUGGAUUUGAAUCUAAAUUUUUUAACUACUAUCUCGUUGAUAAAUGCACACAUACACACACAACACGUCUAGAUUUUUAGCUAAAAGGCUUAUGGAGGCAAAUUGAUCAUCAUGCUAAAAAUAUAUUCCAAGGCUUGUCUCUUUUCUCUGUUUCUGUUUUGAAGGCCCUAAUGGAAGAUUGGUUAUCAAAAAAUUAAAAAAGGUUUACUUUUCAAGAUCUUCUAAAGAUGGUAAUUUUAUUGACAUUAAAUAGGCAGCAUUAUGGUAUCCAUAGUUCUGAUUUGUUUGUUCCUUUAUAAUCUUACCUGAGGUCAUUGGUGGACUACAUUUCCCAGUUUCCCUUGGAAGUAGGUGUAUCCUUGUGACUGAGUUCUAGCUAAUGAAAUGCAAGAGUCCUCUCAAAUCCAGUCCAUACAAAUGUCACCCUGCUCUUUUCCCAUUUUUGCUGGCUCAAAUUGAGGCCUCCAGGGAACUCUUGGGAACCACAAAUUGAAGAUGACAGAGACCCGAGGGGUUAGGAGUCUAGGUCCCUGAACAAUGCUUGGAGGAGAACUGCCCAACCAAGAAUAUUCCCUUCCCCCAGCAAGAAAUAGACAUCUUUUGUAUUAAGCCUGCAUUACCUUAAUUAAGGUAAGUACUUAGCACAAAGCUUAGCACAUAGUAAGCAUUCAAAAAUUGUUCUCCUUUUCCCGUGUCAGCACAUAUUAAUUCAAUGCAUGGACUAAAACCUGGACAGAUUUUGUAAAUAAUUUCUGAAACUGCCCCUGUAUAAUGAUAGCUUUCUGGUUUACCCACUUGUUUACAAUGUGUUUUUUUCACUAAAGUCUAUGCUAACAUUUGAGCAACUUAAAAAUAGAUAGCUUUAUUUAUUUUUCAAUCUCUGUUGCUUUGUUCUAGACGCCUAGUGUAUCUUGAAUAAACAAACAAACAAACAAAAAAAAUUAGGCAGGUCAGAACAGGGCCAGAGGAGAAAGUACAGUUAAAUCCUGGGCAUGUUAAACAUACAAGGUCAAAGCUCAGAUUCUUGGGAAUUCCUACUGUGGUGCAGUGGGUUAAGAAUUCAACUGCAGGGGCUUGGGUCUCUGAAAGGUACAGUUGGUAAAGGAUUGAGCAUUGCCCCAGCUGCAGCAUAGGUCACAGCUACAGUUCAGGUUCAGACCUGGCCUGGGAACUUCCAUAUGCCAUGAGUACAG